UCAUCACCAAUGCUUCCAAGCUCUCCUGGAUAGAUAUCUCAUCUAACUCAUUCUCUGGCUUCAUUCCUGAUACAUUUGGUAAUUUAAAAAAUCUUGAGAUACUAGAUUUAGGAUAUAAUUACCUCACAUCUACUCCUAAUCUGAGCUUUCUUUCCAAUUUGACAAAUUGCAAGAGUUUAAGAACUCUAAAUUUACGUGAAAAUCCACUAAAUAGCAUCCUUCCAGGUUCCAUAGGGAAUCUUCCUAUUUCUUUGGAUAACUUUUCCAUAAAUGGUUGCAACAUUAGUGGCAAAAUUCCCAAAGAAAUUGGAAACUUGACUCAACUUAGAGGGAUCUAUCUUGGAGACAACAAACUCCAAGGAGAAAUUCCAAGAGAGCUUGGCAAUCUUGCGAAACUGGAGAAAUUAUCACUGCGAAAUUGUAACUUAACAGGUGAGAUACUGUAUGUGUUAAACUAGAAAUGUAGUUGAGUCUCCUUGAAGCCCAUUUCUGCUGAUGUUCCGAAGGCCAGCUAGACGUGAGCAGGAGUUGCCGAGGCGUGGCAGUCCAAAAGCUGCAGCCCAUAUUAACUUUUAACAAAUGCUGUGCGUUUUGGGAAGAGAAAGAAGGUUCUUCCGGACGCUUCAGUUAAACUGCUGAUUGAAAAGAUAUUGUACUUUCCCCUAACUUCGUUUCUUCUUUCUUCUAUUUUUCUCACUUCAAAGUGUCAUAGCUUUUUGAUAAAGAUCAAACGGCGUUCCAGAGUUUAGGUCUGAUUAGUUAAAGUAGUUAUGUUUCAACUGUGCUGAUUUAGAUAGCCAGCUUGGCAGCUGAUUUGUUGCAUAAAUUCUGUGUAAAAACCUAAAUUGAUUAAGGAAAAAGUGUGGUGGAAUAUUCAGUAA